AUAUGGAACACAAGUUAUUCAAAUAUUCAAGAAGUUAUCGAUCAAAAUCAAAAGUAUCUAAGCAAAGAAAUCAACCAAGAAAAUGGAAGCAGGAAAAUGUGUAGCAAAAGCUCCUUUUGGUAGUGUGAUUAUAGGUGUACUCAUACUCGGUCUGUUCAUAGCACAGGCUUCAGUAGAGGCUAGAAGCUGCUGCGAUUCCAAAGCUGGAAGAAAUUGUUACCAAGCAUGUGUUAGACGAACAGGUGCAACGAAACUUUGUGCCAGAUCCUGUGGUUGUAGAUUUACUAGAGAGAACAGGUGCCCCUCAAGCCACCCAUGGGCUAACACUAGCAAUUUCCAAAACUCAGACAAUGGUGAUGAAUUUGAAGAACAAAGCAACGUA